rnacentral:rRNA from 1 species
CAAGCUACAAAGGGCGCGUAGAGGAUGCCUUGGCAAUGAGAGGCGAUGAAGGACGUACUAGACUGCGAAAAUCUACGAUGAGCUGUCAAGGAGCGAUUAAUCGUAGGAAUCCGAAUGGGGCAACCCGGUGACGUGAGUCAUCACCCGAAAGGGAGCGAACGCGGGGAAGUGAAACAUCUCAGUACCUGCAGGAAGAGAAAGUAAAAAACGAUUCCGUAAGUAGUGGUGAGCGAAAGCGGAAGAGCCUAAACCGAUGUCUAAGGAUGUCGGGGUUGCGGGAGCGGCAUAAAGUGAGCUGGAAGCUAGAGGAACUGUCUGGGAAGGCAGGUCAGAGAGGGUGAGAACCCCGUACUUGAAAGUGGAAGGUGAGCGAGCCGAUGUCCCAAGUACCUCAGGAAACGUGGGGUCCGGGGGGAAUCAGUGAGGACCAUCUCAUAAGGCUAAAUACUACUCAUUGACCGAUAGUGAACGAGUACCGUGAGGGAAAGGUGAAAAGAACCCCUGUUAGGGGAGUGAAAUAGAAUCUGAAACUACGUGCCUACAAGCGGUCGAAGCAGAACUUCGGUUUUGUGACGGCGUGCCUUUUGCAUAAUGAGCCUGCGAGUUAUCAUAUCCAGCGAGGUUAAGGCGUUAGCUGAAGCCGAAGGGAAACCGAGUCUGAAUAGGGCGUCAGUUGGAUGUGGUAGACCCGAAACCAGUCGAUCUAUCCAUGCGCAGGUUGAAGCGGCGGUAAGACGCCGUGGAGGACCGAACCGGUUAAGGUUAAAAACUUUUCGGAUGACGUGUGGAUAGGGGUGAAAGGCUAAUCAAGGCUGGUGAUAGCUGGUACUCCCCGAAAUGUAUUUAGGUGCAGCCUCGUGUGAUGAGUAAUAGGGGUAGAGCUCUGUUAGUGCUAAGGGCCGUACAGGUUACUGACCAUUGACAAACUACGAAUACUAUUAUGUUAGCACGGGAGUAAGACUGCGGGUGAGAAGAUCCGUAGUCGAGAGGGUAAGAGCCCAGACCGUCAACUAAGGUCCCUAAAUUUUUGCUAAGUGGUAAAGGAUGUGAAGAUAGUGAGACAGCCAGGAGAUUGGCUUAGAAGCAGCCAUUCUUUAAAGAAAGCGUAACAGCUCACUGGUCUAGUGUCUUUGCGCCGAAGAUAUAACGGGGCUAAGCAAAAUACCGAAGUUACGGAUUUAUACCUUAGGGUAUAAGUGGUAGGGGAGCAUUCCACUCAGCGGUGAAGGUCAUCUGUAAGGGUGGCUGGAGCGUGUGGAAGGGAGAAUGCAGGCAUGAGUAGCGAUAAUAUAUGUGAGAAACAUAUACGCCGAAAGUCUAAGGUUUCCACCGGCAGGGUAAUCCGCGGUGGGUUAGUCGGACCCUAAGAUGAGCCCGAGAGGGGUAGUUGAUGGGAAACAGGUUAAAAGUCCGUACUGACAUAACGUCGUUAACACGAUGCGGUGACGGAGAAGGUUAUGCGAGCCGGUUAUUGGAUUCCGGUUUAACAAUGUAGUGUGUGUUCUUGAUAAGUCCGGAGCACGUUAAGCACGAGGUUGGUACACGAGCUGGGCAACCAGCGAGUCGCAAAUACCAUGCUUCCAAGAAAAACCGCUAAGGAGAUGUUAUGUUAUCCGUACCGCAAACCGACACAGGUAGACGGGAAGAGAAUUCUAAGGCGUUUGAGAUAACUCCGGUUAAGGAACUCGGCAAAUUGUCACCGUAACUUCGGGAGAAGGUGAGCCUAUUGUACGUGAAGCGCGCACGCGUGGAGCGGAAGUGGGUCGCAGAAAAGAGGCCCAGGCGACUGUUUAUCAAAAACAUAGCACUAUGCAAACUCGUAAGAGGAGGUAUAUGGUGUGACGCCUGCCCGGUGCUGGAAGGUUAAUAGGAGAUGUGCGAGCAUUGAAUUGAAGCCCCAGUAAACGGCGGCCGUAACUAUAACGGUCCUAAGGUAGCGAAAUUCCUUGUCAGGUAAGUUCUGACCUGCACGAAUGGCGUAACGAUCUGGGCACUGUCUCAACCGGGGACUCAGCGAAAUUGCAGCAGCUGUGAAAAUGCAGCUUUACCGCAGCGGGACGGAAAGACCCCGUGAACCUUUACUAUAACUUGGCAAUGAUAUUUGGCAUAUUAUGUGUAGGAUAGGUGGGAGGCUAUGAAACGUGUGCGCUAGUAUACGUGGAGCCGUCGUUGAAAUACCACCCUUACUGUGCUGACUAUCUAACCUAGGCUUAGUGUAUAAGCAGGGACAUUGCCAGGCGGGUAGUUUGACUGGGGCGGUCGCCUCCGAAAGAGUAACGGAGGCGUGCGAAGGUACCCUCAAGUUGGUUGGACACCAACUGUCGAGUGCAAAAGCAUAAGGGUGCUUAACUGUGAGACUGACGAGUCGAACAGAUACGAAAGUAGGCUUUAGUGAUCCGGUGAUACCGAAUGGAAGGGUCAUCGCUCAACGGAUAAAAGGUACUCCGGGGAUAACAGGCUGAUUCCUCCCAAGAGUUCAUAUCGACGGGGGAGUUUGGCACCUCGAUGUCGGCUCAUCACAUCCUGGGGCUGUAGCAGGUCCCAAGGGUUCGGCUGUUCGCCGAUUAAAGUGGUACGCGAGCUGGGUUCAAAACGUCGUGAGACAGUUUGGUCCUUAUCCGCUGUGGUCGUAAGAGAAUUGAAGAGAUUUGUCCCUAGUACGAGAGGACCGGGAUGAACGAACCGCUGGUGUGUGGGUUGUUGCGCCAGAAGCAUCGCCCAGUAGCCAAGUUCGGAACGGAUAACCGCUGAAAGCAUCUAAGUGGGAAGCCGGCUCUAAGAUAAUUUCUCUCUAACGUAAGUUACUAAAGGUCCCUUCUAGACUAGGAGGAGAUAGGUUGGGUGUGUAAGCACUUAAUAGGUGUUGAGCUAACCAAUACUAAUAGACCGAGCGGCUUGUUU